CGGCUUAUGUGUCUUUAAAGUCAGUUGCCGGCAUGUGUGUCUCGAAGGUCAGUUCCCGGUCUGCCCGUGCGAGUGCUUAUCAGGGGCGCCGAACGGUGAGCGACGUCGCUUUCUCCCCCUCAGGCGCCGGGCUGCGACGACGGGCGCGGGGAAGGAGGCGCCUGGAUGCGGCGCGGCCGAACACCUCAGAAGAAAGGCAGGAUUCUGUUUACAAGAUGGCAACGUAGAGUAAACACAAUCCAUCUCUACGCUCUUUCCAGGAGGAGGUGUUUCUUCUCGAGUCCUUUUUCACGUGGAGACAUGCUCAGCCACAAAAACUUUUGGCUUUUUUACAGGUCACUCCCCAGCCAAGACCGGGAGACCCUACGGUCCCUGUCAAAUGUUUCAGACUGGUCUCAAUAAAACCCCUUGUUA